rnacentral:lncRNA from 1 species
AAUCAUGAGAGGAGGAAGGAUGAAGUUGCUAACCUUUAGAACAGUUGGAAGAGUGAAAUCCCCACAAAUCGUGGAUAUAAUGGGAAGCACCUCCCCUAGGUCGCUUAUGGAGUGAAGAAGCCUGAGCUCUUGGUCAAAUGGUUGAGCUUGGGCUCGGGGAGGACGAAGGAGCUUAUUUUAUGGGGUGUACAUUAGUACCAACUGGUGGCUCUAGCCAGUACUAAGUUCUGACAUUUAGUAUUGGUUGAAGGUACCAACUGGUACACACAUGCGUGAACACCAUUUAGUUCUGGUUGAACCUACCAGCUGGUACUAAACGGUUUCCAGGGGAAUCUAGCCGUUGGCCACCCGUUCCCCAUGCCGCCAUUUAGUACCAGCUGAGACUCCAAACUGGUACUAUAGGAGCUCCGGUGGCACUGUGCGUGAUGACCGGUACUAACGCCGCAUGUUAGUACCGGACGAAAAGCCAUCCGGUACUAACACAAUGGAUGAAUGCUCAGUUUUCCAAUAGUGAUUGCUUCGUAGAACAUUGUAUGCUUUUCUCAUCAUCCUCUCUGGUAUUAAAAAUCUUACAUGGCACUAUACGAGACAACUUUGAGAGUAAUGAUAUGCAUCAAUGUAUUUAUUCGUACUGGACACAACGGAAACUCACAUGGCACUAUAUGAGACAACUUUGAGAGUAAUGAUAUGUAUCAAUGUAUUUGUUCAUACCGGACACAACAGCUAGUGCUACUUGGCCCCCAAUAGUAGGUGGGGCUUUGGAGGCCACCUUCAAGGAACAUAUUGGCUGCGAUUUGUGCAGGGUGAGGACACAAGAGAGAUCGUCAGUCUGACGAGCAAGGCAUUGGGUCAGGGCUUUACAUAUUUUCCUCAAGAAUGGAGAGAUAAGCAAUAAUAUGCAUUGGUUUUUUUGUGUGCUCUUUCCCUAUUUAUUUGUGAUCAGCUAUUUAGCUGAAAUUAGUGUAAAAACUUAGCUGUGUGCGGUUGCUGAGGCCAGAUAUUUUUCCAUUUUCUAAAAAUGUUGAUGCUUCCCUAUGCCGUGAAUAUCUGAUCCCUGUCAUGGAAUCCUCACAUUUUUGGCCCUUGAUUCAUGAAAAUUGUAACAAUCUGAGUUCUGCUCAUCUUAAGUGUGUAAAAUUCACUAUGAUGCGAGUAUCCCUGUCAUGGAUAGCAAAAUUCACUAAGUUUGUACAUCAUAAAACACGAACAACUAUAGCUUAUUUCAAGUUAAGUAGCUUGAAUUUACUAAUUAGAACAUUUUGUAAUUUUAAACUUGCAUAAAUUAUUUCAUGACCAUUCCUCCUAGUUUUGGUGUAUUGAAAUCCCAAUCACAGAAACCUUACCUAAAUUGCUAGAUUAAUUUCCUCAUGCAACUGUAAGAUUGAAUCGAUAAAAAACAUAAUCUACUUUUGUUUUAAAUAUGUACUAUUAUUAGAGCAUAGCUCCUAAUAAACUCGUGAAAGUUGGUCAGAAAGUAGGUUAAUAUAAUUAUAAAUCAAACCCAAUUGGAUUCAAGGCAAUUGGAGGUCUGUCUGAUCAUAACGAGAAAAGGUUAUACCUUAAUUUUGUGAUCAAGCAAAAUCCAUGAAAACCUGAUCAAUCAAACUCUUCAGAUCACCAACUUGAUGCACUAGCACAGUUUUGGAUUGAUCAAAACAAGUCUGAUCAUGCUGAGCAGCAAUAGAAUCUAAAACCAAAGACGAGCAGCUUCGAGGGAUGGACUGAAGGUUGUCAAUCUAAGAUGAGAAGCUAUGCAUGUUAGUCUACAGAAACACUAAGAGAUUGUUUGUUUGAUUUUUGUACAAUGAAUUCUAAUGUCCAUUAUCUGUUCUGGAUGGUUCCAAUAGUGCGAUGGUGCAUCAUUGGUCUAGAUUCAGCAAAGGUGGAAUCUUUCUAGCUCUGUCGUGUAAGAUUGUAAUCUGGUGCUACCAGUAACCGUGAAGUGGACCUCUUAAGAUGAACAAUCUUAAAAUGAGAGAGAUGUAGAGAGACAGGCAACAUAGCACACUGGGGAUUGGGACAUGUUGCUGCGGUCGGGACGUCAAAGGAUUCUACGUAUUUUCCACAAGCCUGAUCACUACCGUUUCUUUAAAAAGAACUGACAUUGAUACUUGAGUAUGACUUCAGUUCUUUCUAAAAAACGCACAACGAUGCAUUAUUUCCUAUGAAUCGACAACGAUACCUCUAUAUAACUCAAAGAUCCAAAGCAACUUGUAGUGAUGAGUUUUCUGUAUCAAUGGGACAAUAAUCUGCUGUUGAAAAAAUAAAUUGAGCAAAAGUAUGUUGCAAUAAGAUGUACUUUAAACACACACGUUUCUAUGUGGAGAUGCUCUGCAUACGUACAUCUUAGAUCAAAUACGCUCAUGCUAUUUCAACUUACACGCUUAUGCAUGCAUUAUUGUUAUCAUCGGCAUCAACAGGGGGGAUAUGCUGAUGUUUCUUAAUCAAUCAAGAAAAAUGCAUGGAUUCUUGUCAUCGACAUCGUUAAUCUCGACAAGCAGUGGAUAUGCUGAUGUUUCUUAAUUAAUGAAGAAAAAUGCAUGCAUUGUUAUCAUCGACAUCCUUAAUUUCGACAAGGAGUGGAUAUGGAUAUGCUGAUGCUUCUUAUUAAUUAACUGUGAACAAAAUGCAUGCAUUGUUAUAAUCGACAUGGCCCAAGCUACGCAAAUGGGAGUGCACUCAUACAUUUGUAUUUAUACACACACAUACCUUGAACACAAGAUCACCGCCGCGAGAAAAGAUAAGGUUCUGUUAGGUAUAGCAGCCUCUUCUUCCCUAAAGGUUGGCAUGUAUUAUUUUUUAUUAUUGCAUACAUUUUCCAUUAAAUAUUUCAGUAGACUGAUUACUUUUUUGGUUAGCAGAUAAUGCUUUCGAUUAUGACAUCUUCCUAGGCUUAGAGCAUGGUUUCCAUCCCUUUAUCAGUUAAUACCAGAGAUUAUUAUGGCAUAUUAUUAUUAUUAUUAUUAUUAUUAUAAAAACGAAACACCAUGCAUGUUUCUCUUGAUUAUCUAUGUAUUUCUCAAUUAUGGAUGCUUGUUGUUAAUUAACAGUUUCGAAAGGGAGGAAGGGUUAGUGCGUGAUCAAGGUAGACAUGCCUGGUCCGGUACCUCAAUCGUGGCCGGAUCUGAUUGGUACUGAACUGAAUGCAGCAGUUCAGAUCAUCGCUCAGGAGAGGCCUGAUGUCAGAAUUGUCCGAGUACUCCCUCCAGGCGAGGCUCCAUCCCCACCGCCAACAGACCAAGUACGCGUUGUCCUUUACAACGACGUCGGCCCAGUGCCUGAUACAUGGAUGGUUGUUGCACCUGCACCAUACAUUGGCUAGCUAGCCUGCCUUACAUGCAUGGCUGGCUUUAUCUUUUGUGCCUUUAUUAUAAAGGCUAGCAUCUCGAUUGAAUAAAGUGAGCGAGUGUGAUAUCGAUCGUCAUGCAUUAAUGCUACGUAGUCUAUGUGGGCAUGCCUGCAUUGUUUACUCAUAUAUGUAUUAGUGUGAUGAAUUUACAAAUAUUUCAAUGAGUAUACUAUUUGAUAAAUGGAAUAAUGAAUUAUGUGUUUUCUUCUUUUUCCAUGAGUGGCUUGCUUUAUUUUGUAUGCCGCAGAAUAUUAAAGGCUAGUGUCAGUUGAAUAAAGCAAGGACUUCGAUAUCGAUUGCCAUGCAUUCAAGCUAUUCAGUGUAUCUAGACUAUAGUUUACUCAUACAUGAUUGUGUGUGAUGAAUCUACAUAUGUUUAAAUGAGUGCACUAUGUAAUAUUUCAAUGAGUGUACUCAUAUGAUGAAAAUUUUAUGGUUCUAAGGUCUUUAUGCUAUAAGAAUGCAGAUAAUAUCGGAUACCCAUCCACAUUUAUUUUGAAUACGAAUACGAAUUUGGAUCAUGUAAAACGAAUUCAAAUUUGUCCAAUUAAGGUACCAUAUUAGAAACGAAUGUGGUUACCAAUAUCCAUAUAUCACAUUUUAGUGGAUACGAAUUCAGAUAUCUGCCUACCACUUUCCACUCCUAUCAGUUACCAUUUUAAAUCAGUUUUGUAACAAAACAAAUGCGUGUGCAACACUCAUACGAACUCCACAUCCUUUCUCUAAUAAGCUAGUACGUGCCUGCCAACAAAACCCACUAAUACCAUCGCUCUCAGGUGGAGAGUGGAGACUUUAACGUUAUGAGAAAUGACAUUAUGAGAAAAAGUAAAGAGAAAAAAGAUAAUAAAUUGAGUUUCAAUGACCGAUGGGCUUUCUUGUUCAAUGUGGUGACUAAUAGCUUUGAUCUUAUAGGGAAAUAGUCUUGAAUAUUGUCUGUUCACACUAGUAGAAAAAUGACCUUCCAUCCCCAAUAAAAAUCUUGGUUAUUUUUGGACUCGGGACUAAAGGGACUCUAAUCGUGGUUGUCACACAAACUAGGAUUAAAGGUGAUUCUCAAUAAAAAGCUCAUCCGUGGAGACACCUUUAGUCCUGGUUGGUAACACCGAUCGGGACUCAAGGUGAUCCUUUAGUCCCGGUUGGUGUUACAAACCUGUACUAAAGCCUUCGAGAGCUUUACUCCCGAUUAGUAAUACCAACCGGGACUAAAGGGUGCAAUUUAAGACUAAAGGGUCCCCCACGAGUUACUACAAAAGGAUUGCAUCCUGUACUCAGUCAGAUGUGUUGUGUAGGUGAGAUGGUAAGGAAGCUACGCGCUAGGCUUGCGGUCCUGGGUUCGAAUCCCACGCAUCGCACACGCGCAUAUUUCGCAUGAAAAAUCACGUGACUUAUCACUUGUGACAUACGUGUGGGGUGGUGCCUCGCGCUUGGGGGCUAGGUACGUAUUUCAACUCAGCUUGCCUCGUGGCUCCACCAGUCCAUGCGCUUGCGGGGCUGGGCGUCUAUUUCAUGUUGACGUGCCUCCUUGGCUCUACUAGUACUCGCGCUCAGGGACUGGGCGCCUAUUUUAGCUCGUCUUGCCUCUAUGGCUUCGCUAGUCCUCGUGCUUGGGGGUUGGGCAUCUAUCUCAGGUUGACGUGCCUCCUUAGCUCUGCUAGUUCUCGCGCUCGGGGGCUAGAUGCCUACUUCCGGUUGGCAUGCCUCUAUGGCUCUACAAGUCCUCGCACUCUUGGGGUGGACACCUAUUUCAGGUUGGCGUGCCUCUACAGCUCAGCCAGUCCUCGUGCUUUUGGGCUGGAUGCCUAUUUCAUGUCGGCAUGCCUCCGCGGCUCCGCCAGUCCUCGCGCUCGGGAGCUGGGUGCCUACUUCAGGUUGGCGUGCCUCUAUGGCUCUGCUAGUCCUCGCGCUACGGGUCAGGGCACCUCUUUCAGGUCGGCGUGCCUCUGCGGCUCCACAAGUCCUCGCGCUUGGGGGCUGGACGCUAUAUUUGGAUCCUUUUUACGAUAGAAAUGAUACCUUAGAUUGUUGACCAUUGGAUCAGUUACUUUAAUUGCUACAAUGCUUGGGGGCGACUCCAUAUGGAGUGCGUCUUGCGAUACCCUCCAUGUGCUUCCCUUCAAUCUACAGGAUGCCAGACAUCCCGAAGUUCCGCAGUCGCAUAGCCAUGCACAUUUGGUCAUACGCCUAUGGAAGCUCAAUUUUCCUUUCUUUUUUGAGCAUUGCGCAGCCUCUCCAUCACUAUGACAAGACCGCAACUUCAACCGAGUAUAUUACAAGCUUCGAUGCACAUCCACCAGGCUCCUGUAUGACUCCACAUUGCUCAGGGGCUUGAUGGAUAAGGGUACCCAUGGGUCCCCAUCGACCAGGAUACUGGUCGGCCAUGACAGGUGGUCCUGCCCGACCACGCAGUUCGGGCCAAGGCAUGAAGAUACAUGGAGCACAGGUUCGGAUGCUUUAACAUUAUGAAAAAUAGUACGGAGAAAAAAGAUAAUAGAUUUAGAUUCAAUGACCGAUGGGCUUUCUUGUUCAAUGUGGUGAUGAAUAGCUUUGAUCUUAUACGGAAAUAGUCUCGACGGUUGUCUGUUCACACUAGUAGAAAAAUGGCAUUCCAUCCUCAACAAAAAUCUCGGUUAUUUUUUUUACCCGACAUUAAGAGGCUUUAGUCCUAGUUGGUAAUGCCAACUGGGCCUAAUGGUGGUCCUCAAUAAAAAGCUCAUCUGUGGGGACACCUUUAGUCCCGGUUGGUAACACUAACUGAGACUAAAAGUUGAUCCUUUAGUCUGAUUUGAUGUUACCAAUAAGGACUAAAGGGUCCCCCACGAGUUACUACAAAAUGAUUGGAUCCCCUACUCAAUCAGAUGUGUUGUGUAGGUGAGAUGGUAAGGAAGCUACGUGCGAUACUUGAGGUCAUGGGUUUGAAUCCAAGGAACCGCGCAUGCGCAUAUGUCGUGUGAAAAAUCGCGUGACUCGUGACUUGCCACGUGCACGUGUAGGGGAGGCAUCGCACUCGAGGGCUAGGAGCCUAUUUCAGCUCGGCUUACCUCCAUGGCUCCCUCUGGGGCUAGGCGUCACUUUCAGGUCAACAUGCCUCCCUCUGCUAGUCCUCGCGCUCUAGGGCUGGACACCUAUUUCUCGUCGGCGUGCCUUCGUGGCUCCGCCAGUCCUCGCACUUGGGAGCUAGGCACCUACUUCAACUUGGCGUGCCUCCACGACUCUGCUAGUCCUCGUGCUCCAGGUUAGGGCACCUAUUUCAGGUCAGCGUGCCUCAACAGCUCUACAAGUCCUCACGCUCGGGGGCUGGGCGCUAUAUUUGGAUCCCUUUUACGAUGAAAAUAAUAGAUCAGAUUCUUGACCAUUAGACUGGUUCCUUUAAUCGCUUCAUUGCUCAAGGCUACUCGAUAUGGAGUGCAUCUUGCGAUGCCGUCCAUGUGCUUCCCUUCGAUCUACAAGAUGCCAGACAUCCUAGAGUUCGGCAGUUCCAUAGCAAUAUACAUUUGGUCAUACGCUUGUGGAAGCUUCAAUUUUUCUUUCUUUUGUGAGCAUUGUGCAGCCUCUCCAACACUAUGACAAGACCGCAACUUUGGCCAAGUAUAUUACAAGCUUCGUUGCACAUUCGCUAGGCUCCUAGUCGACUCCACAUUGCUCUGGGGCUUGAUAGAUAAGGGUACGCAUGGGUCCCCACUGACCAGGAUACUGGUCGGCCCUAACAGGUGGUCCCGCCCAACCACGCCAUGCGGGCCAAGGUACAAAGAUACAUGGAGCACAGGCUCGGAGGCUUUAACAUUAUGAGAAAUAGUAAAGAGAGAAAGAUAAUAGAUAUAGAUUCAAUGACCAAUGGGCUUUCUUCUUCAAUGUGGUGACUAAUAGCUUUGAUCUUAUAUGGCAAUAGUCUUGAUCGUUGUCGGUUCACACUAGUAGAAAAAUGACGUUCCAUCCUCAACAAAAAUCCAGUUGUUUUUGGACCAGGGACUAAAGAGGCUUUAGUCCAGGUUGGUAACACCAACUGGGAAUAAAGGUGAUCCUCAAUAAAACGCUCAUAUGUGGAGACACCUUUAGUCCCAAUUUUAAACACCAACCAGAACUAAAGGUUAUCCUUCACUCUGGGUUGGUGCUACCAACCGGGACAAAGGGUCCCCCACGAGUUACUACAAAAGGAUUGCAUCCCCUACUCAGUCAGAUGUGCUGUGUAGGUGAGAUGGUAUGGAAGCUAUGUGUAAGGUUUGGGGUCGUGGGUUUCAAAUCCCACGCAUUGCGCACGCGCAUAUUUUGCAUGAAAAAUUAUGUGACUUGUGACUUGUGACAUGCGCGCGUGGGGGAGUAUAAGGAAUCGGUACUCGUAGCCUAAGAGGGGGACGGGGUGAAUUAGGCAACUUAAAACCUUAACCUACUUUGCAUCAAAACAUAAUCUAGAUCAUGCUAACCUACUAAUGACUCUCCUAAGCUUGUGCUAAGCCUUUGAUGGAUCACUUAAGCACUUUUGGUGGUUUGGAUGUGUUUUUGCUGAGUCUUGGUCUUCAAUGCAUCCCUUGACACUCAAACAACUCCGAAUGGGCGAGUGAUGACGGUACAAAUAGCCAUAAAGGCUCAAAGAGCCAUUGCUCCAAUAGCUAGUAAAAAAGUAUACCAUCAGAUGUUCCGAUGGUCUAAUUUUGGCCUGCAUCAUAACAUCCAGUGCAACAAGCCGUUGCACUCCCCACGCCUAAAUUCCUCACGAAUUUAUCUGAUGCUUUAUCCGAUACGCCCGUGAGACCAUCCGGUGCCACUGUUCACAUCACGUAGCCAUUGGAUUCGCUGACAUUAUUGCUCCGAUGCUUCAUCCGAUGGUUCCAUCGGAUCAUCUGGUGCUAAAGGGUUUUGGACCCGAAACCUUCUGUCAGGAAUCAAAGUAAAUAUGCUUUGUCCGACGCUCCUCUUGGACUACCAUCGGAUCAUCUGCUGCUAUUGGAUUUCUUCAUCUUUCAAGCCUACCCCUCAUAAUUCAUCCGAUGCUACUAGAAAUGUGACCAUCGGAACAUCCGAUGGUUGACCUUGCCUGAACUCCUUCGUAGCGUACCAUUUACUCCGACGCUUGCUCCAGCGCAUUCUUUGGGGGCCAUCAAAACAUCCGAUGGUGCAUUUUUCCUUCUAACUCAUCCAAAGCAAGCACUAAAGGUACCAUCAUUUGGAUUUUCUCUAUCAUUUGGAUGCUUCAAUACCAUAGAAUAAUCCUGAAUACCAUGGCUUGGUCACUUAAAUACCAUAGCUUGGAUACUCGAAUACCAUGAUUUGGAUGUCAAGAAUAUUUGGACUUUGCCAUGAUUUGGUUUGCAUUCAUAGGACCUAGAAAACCUACAAGGUACAUGUAGACAAUGCAUUACUUCCAAUGACUAUGUUGUCACUUAAUCACCAAAAUCACAAACUAUGGCUUAAUGAGGCCAUGUUCACUAUAGGGAGGCCUCGCGCACGGGAGCUGGGUGCCUAUUUUAGCUCGGCUUGCCUCCGUGGCUCUGCUGGUCCUCGCGCCCGGGGGAUGGGUGUCUAUUUUAGGUCAACGUGCCUCCCUCUGCCAGUCCUUGUGCUCUGGGGCUGGACACCAAUUUCAGGUCGGCGUGCCUCUAUAGCUCCACUAAUCCUCGUGCUUUGGGGUUGGACGCCUAUUUUAGGUUAGCGUGCCUCCACGGCUCCGCUAGUCCUUGUGCUCGAGGGAUGGGCACGUACUUCAGAUCAUUGUGCCUCCUUGGCUGCACCACUCCUCAUGCUUAGGGGCAGGGCACCUAUUUCACAUCAGCGUGCCUCUGCAGCUCCACCAGUCCUCGUGCUCAGGAGCUGGGCGCUAUAUUUGGAUCCCUUUUACGACGGAAACAAUACAUCAGAUUCUUGACCAUUGGAUCAAUUACUUUAAUCGCUUCAAUGCUCAGGGACUACUCCAUAUGGAGUGCGUCUUGUGAUGCCCUCCAUGUUCUUUCCUUCAAUCUACAGGAUACCAGAUAGCCCGGAGUUCGGCAGUCGCAAAGCCAUGCACAUUUGGUCAUACGCCUGUGGAAGCUUCAAUUUUUUUUUGAGCACGGCACAACCUCUCCUUCACUAAGACGACACCGUAACUUCAGCCGAGUACAUUACAAGCUUCAUUGCGCAUCACUCAGGCUCCUGUUCGAGUUCAUAUUGCUUGGGGGCUUGAGGGAUAAGGGUGUCCACGGGUCCCCACUGACCAGGAUAGUGGUCGGCACUGAGAGGUAGGCCUACCCGACCAUGCCGUGCGGGCCAAGGCAUGAAGAUACUUAGAGCACAGGCUCGGAGGAUGGGCAGACGGAUUCUGCCCUGAUAUUGCGGGAUACCUGUUGUAGUCCAACUCUGAUUGCUUUCCAUCUAACAACUAACUAGGAUUAGAUCCUAUCCGACUUGUGACCCUAGAUCAUCAGCCUAUAUAAGGCGGCUAGGGACACCCGCCGAAGGUAACUCAACCCAAUGCAUCUCGACUCAUUGCAUCCCAUACCAGCAAUACAAUCCACCAGAACAUAGGACGUAGGGUAUUACUCUCCGGAGGCCCAAACCUGUCUAAACCUUGUGUUUCUGUAUUACCAUCUUGCGGUCUCCACCUCCUACAAAUCAGACAUCGACCUGUGCCCUUGUUCAUCCCACACCGCCGGUCAGAUCAGCCGAAUUGGCAUGCUAGGAAUAGACAUGCAUGUCUCAGACUGCAUUUGGCUAUCCCAGUGAUGGAAUUAUUGUCGAUGCUCUUGCACGUGGCCCCUCGCCAUCAACAGAGAUGGUCAUCUGUAUCAUAUUCUUUCUAUCAAUGGAGAUGAUCGUGUGUAUCAGAUUCAUGUGUCAUGAGUGGUUUUCUAAUGGGUGCCGGCUGAUUUGCAGUGUCACCAUGUAUUGCCUGGCGCUGGAUAUUAGUAUGAGGCAACCGAGAUGGGGCAGGCCAACAACAAAAAGAAAGUACCUUUGGGCGUGAUUGGAUGCUGAAGGAUCGGAAAGGCGACCAGAGGAGGGGGGUGAAUGUGAGCCUCAAAUAUUUCUUUCGAAAUCUUAGGCCUCUAUGUCAAAAUCAAACCCCAAAUCCAAACAAGUGGAAGAUGAGAGAUCCACGAGCCAACUUGUUGGCUGGGUGUCUAUGAUAAUGACUUAAAGACACAGUAGGACUCUCGAGAAGCAACCCGAAGCAAACUCAAAAGAUUGAGGCAAAAUAUAGCUCAAAACACCUUCUAGGUAUCUGAACUUCCGACCUCUUAUCGGAACUUGUGAGAGUGGACUGUAAGAACUUCUGACCCAAUAUCGGAACUUCCGAUAGAGGUUUUCGGGUUUUCAGCAAUUAACCCAUCGAAACGUCCGAUCCUGUGUUGGAACUUCUAACCCGUUGAAACUUCCUACAUAGUGUCGGAACUUUCUACAGCUUAGAAAUCAGCCUUCGUGAGGAGAGAAGAAAAAUCCAAAACUUGAUCAAAUGACCUCAAAAAAUCAUGAAAUUUGAACCAUAGCAUCACAAGAUAGUAGAGAAGCUACUCCUAAAAAUUAUCCCACAAAGAUUUUUUAAAACAUGGGAAUUCCAAAUGUUGUGAGGAACACAACUUUUCACACACUGAAAAUUGAAUCGCCCCGAUCUAUGAACUCGUGAGGUUUCAAUCAAAUCCCUUUGGUGGAAAGGUUCAACUCAUGUCCUAGUUCAUAUCCAAACAACCAGUUUGACUCAAAACCUCCCACAAAACAUGAAUUGAACAAACAUGUGAAGGAAGGAGGAAGGGAAGAAACAAGAACGCGAAGAACACAAAUGGGAAUCGGACAAAGUCGUCAUCCCUGACCACACGGAGGACUCAAGGAUGUUAGGGCCUCCAUUCCUGCAACAAACUUUGGUUCAAUACAUGGAUUCGGUGCCCAAAACAUCUGAGGACCUCUAGAGACAUAAACUAGAGAGAGAGAGAGACUAGGCUAGUGAACUACUAAAAACCUAGAUAGAAGAGGUGCUUAGAGAGGUGCUGAAACAACCAGCCCCCAUCCCUAUUUAUGGUCUCCGACUAGUUACUAAACUACCCCUACAGCUACUACUAGGAUAACUACCCACGCAGGGGCAUUUUGGUCCAAGUUUCUCUACGCUCAUCGGACAGAAAUACCACCUUCACGACUUUGCUUUUCCUCAAAGCAAGCUUCACGAUGAAACCACGUGCCCUACUUGACUCGCCUCCAUCCCGCUUGACUCGACCGACGCCGUCUCCAUCCCAUCAUGUUCUCUUGCUCUUCCAUGCACCAUGUGGACUACCCAUGACUCCACCCAGACUCCUCAGGUCCAUCGGUCGAAGACUACUCACGUUCAUCCUUCACCGCUCUUGGUCCAUUGGCAUGAACCUUUCGCUUGACCUUCACUGCAUGCCGUCGGCCGCCACACCGCAUCCAACACCUGCACAUCUCAAGCCAAGAGCAACAUCAUUCCAACACAAUAUUGUCAAUCACUGAUCAUCCAAGGGUGACAACCAUUGGUCCUCAGAUGUCUGCAUUUUGGUCAUCCAGGCUCGUAGAAUGCAAGGUGCCCGUGAAUUGUUGUCUGGGCAAGGGUCCUAUUUGUUUGGGCUUUCCAGUAGCUUUCCACCUUAGAAGUCGAAAGCUCAAACAAACGGCCAGCUUCUGAGCUAAGCUUUUCGAAAGCCAAAAGCCAGAAGCAGUGAAAUUUUUCCGCAGCUUUCUACGUCAAGGUCGUGAAAAUUAACCAUCUACCAUCAUUUAUGUUGCGAACUGGUCAUUUUUCUUUCCUCGUCCCCUCCCCCGUGUUAGCUUCCUAACCCCGCCAACAUUUUGCGGGCAACCAAUCAAUGUCUCGUGUUGGUCUGGCUGCAUCCACACAGGAAUAAAACAAAAGGCUUCUGCAUCUCGAGAGCCUGGGGAACGGGAACCUACACUGCAAAAGGCUUUUGCAUCCACACGUGAACCAAACAAAAGGCUUUUGCGUCUCGAGAGGAACGACGACGAUCGCCCUCACCAUCGCCACUACCUCCAGCAGCAGCAAUAGCCAUCUCUACGUACCAUAAUUUAUUUAGCUCAUAUUUCCAAAUGACUAAAAUAUGAAUAAAUUAUAUUUUUUGCCACAAUUUAUUUAGCUCAAACAUAACAUAUAAAUGGAAAGUUCCUCCAUUGUAGCUUAUUUUAAAAAUGAUUAAUUAUGUAUCUCUAUUUCAUCUUAUUAUCUCUAUGUACCACAAUUUAUCUCACUCAUAUUUGCAAAUCACUAAAAUAUGAACAAAUUAUAUUUUUCCCAUAAUUUUUUAGUUCAUAUUUGUAAAGGAUUAAACUAUAAAAUUAUUCCUCUAACCUCGUAUCAAUUUCUUUGACUAGUACGAAACAUGGCAUCUAUAAAAUUGUAGCUUAUUCUAAAAAUCACAAAUAUGAGUUCUAAAUAACACAUGUAUAUAAAUGAAAAUUUUCUCCAUUGUACCCUAUUCUAAAAAUCACAAAUUACUCUAGCUCUAAAGCAUAUUACUUACUCUAGGACCUCUCCUAUUUCGCGAUGAAUGGAUGAAGCCCGAGCUGGAGGAAAUAGCUCGGGCAGGAGGAAAAAGAUACCUUAUUUAUAGGAGGGAAGUUAGUGUUGGUUGGAGGCUCCAACCGGUACUAAAGGGGGUCACGGGGGGCUCCUGGGGAACUAGCCGUUAGACCUAAUACCAAUGCUCACAUUAGUACCGGGUCAAAAACCAACCAGUACUAAGGGCUAGGACCAAUGCUCAGUUUUCCAAUAGUGAUCAUGAUAAGGAUGGUUGUGUGGUUGGUGCGGGAAGAACUUGGCGAAAGCCAUGACCAACUUGGUGUUGGUAGUGAUGACAGCAUCAUUGUGGGACUCUCCUUCCUCGCAACCAUUGAUUCCUCCGAGUGAAAACUCGAUCUCGGUUCUAUCGGACGGCGGCGGAAUCAGGGCGGAGAGCUAGGGGGAGGGGGGGGGUGUGCAGGGCCGGCCCUGCCCCCCUAACGAGCCUAUUUUUUCUAAAGUAUCUCUCCUAAACAUCAGUAAUGACCGGAGCUUAAGGUGGUGUACCGGCAGAACAAGACUUUUGAGCCCAAUAAACACAUCUGAACCAAACCAGGCGCCUUAGGCCUUUUUGAUUUAUGUCCACAACACCUAAGUAACAUGCCAUAUUUUUGUAACCAAAAAAUUAUCUAUGAGUAUUUUUUUCUACAACAAAGGGCAUUACAUGUAUUGUCUUCGAUUGUGCAAAUAUUCCUUUCAUAUGUUGUGUCUUUUUUUAUAGCCAUCGCCUAUAGGUCUCGGAGUAGUCUCAGUUCUGAAAUUUAGCUCAGGAGAUGAUUUACUGCUAGACGAUCGACCUUUAGUACCGAGCGUCCGACCGGUACCGAUUGUUCGGUACUAAAUGCCACGCCAUUUAGUACCGACCAAAAUGCCCGGUAUUAAAUGGGCCAUUUAGUACUGGUCGGUAGUACCAACCAGUAGUAAACUGCGAGCCACGUCGCGCUAUUGCGGACGACAGUUUAGUACCAGUUGGUUUUACUAACCGGUACUAAAUGGUUAUUUUUUUGUUUUCCUUUCACUUUAAUUCAUAUUUUUAUUCUUAUUGGUAUUCAUAUGCGCGUACAGUAUCUGUUUGAGUAUAGUAGUAAUAUUACGCUAAUAUAUAUUGAUCUAGCAUAUAGUAAAGGUUACAUAUAUUGUAUUUAUACAAUUUAUAUACACUUCAAAUAUUACAAGUAAUCCAAUACGAUUUUCUCAAUAUCAAAUAGACUUUCAUAGGUAAAAAAUAUACACUCUCCAUGCAUGUAUAAAUGAAAAAAAUCUCCAUUCAUCCUCACUCUAAAAAAGGACAAAUUUCUCUAGCUACAAAGCAUAAAACAUAAAAUACUAAUCAUAAGAGGAGGGAGGAUGAAGUUGCUAACCUUUAGAACAGUUAGAAGAGUGAAAUCCCCACAAAUCGUGGAAAAAAUGGGAAGCACCUCCCUUAGGUCACUUAUGGAGUGAAGAAGCCUGAGGUCUCGGUCAAAUGGUUGAGCUCGGGCUCAGGGAGGAUGAAGGAGCUUAUUUUAUGGGGUGUACGUUAGUACCAACUCGUGGCUCUAGCCAGUACUAAGUUCUGACAUUUAGUAUUGGUUGAAACUACCAACUGGUACACACAUGCGUGAACACCAUUUAGUUCCCAUUGAAGCUAUCAGCCGGUACUAAACAGUUUCCAGGGGAAUCUAGCCGUUGGCCACCCGGUCCCCAUGCCGCCAUUUAGUACCAGCUGAGACUCCAAACUAGUACUAUAGGGGCUCUGGUGGCACUGUGCAUGACGACCGGUACUAACGCCGCACGUUAGUACCGGACGAAAAGCCGUCCGGUACUAACACGUUGGAUGAAUGCUCAGUUUUCCGGUAGUGAUUGCUUCGUAGAACAUUGUAUGCUUUUCUCACCAUCCUCUCUGGUAUUAAAAAUCUCACAUGGCACUAUAUGAGACAACUUUGAGAGUAAUGAUAUGUAUCAAUGUAUUUGUUCGUACUAGACACAACGGAAACUCACAUGGCACUGUAUUUGUUCAUACCGGACGCAACGGCUUGUGCUACUUGGCCCCCAAUAGUAGGCGGCGCUUUGGAGGCCACCUUCAAGGAACAUAUUGGCUGCGAUUUGUGCUGGCUGCGAUUUGUGCAGCGUGAGGACACAAGAGAGAUCGUCUGUCUGACGAGCAAGGCAUUGGGUCAGGGCUUUACAUAUUUUUCUCAAGAAUGCAGAGAUAAGCAAUAAUAUGCAUUGCUUUUUUUGUGUGUUCUUUCCCUAUUUAUUUGUGAUCAACUAUUUAGCUGAAAUUAGUGUAAAAACUUAGCUGUGUGCGGUUGCUGAGGCCAGAUAUUUUUCCAUUUUCUAAAAGUGUUAAUGCUUCCCUAUGCACUAGCACAGUUUUGUAUUGAUCAAAACAAGUCUGAUCAUGCUGGGCAGCAAUAGAAUCUAAAACCAAAGACGAGCAGCUUCGAGGGAUGGACUGAAGGUUGUCAAUCUAAGAUGAGAAGCUAUGCAUGUUACUCUACAGAAACACUAAGAGAUUGUUUGUUUGAUUUUUGUACAAGGAAUUCUAAUGUCCAUUAUCUGUUCUGGAUGGUUCCAAUAGUGCGAUGGUGCAUCAUUGGUCUAGAUUCAGCAAAGGUGGAAUCUUUCUAGCUCUGUCGUGUAAGAUUGUAAUCUGGUGCUACCAGUAACCGUGAAGUGGACCUCUAAAGAUGAACAAUCUUAAAAUGAGAGAGAUGUAGAGACAGGCAACAUAGCACACUGGGGAUUGGGACAUGUUGCUGCGGUCGGGACGUCAAAGGAUUCUACUAGUUUGAUUUUAUUAUAAAAAAAAGUCUCAACUACCCUUUAGUCCUCGUUGGAAAAACCAACCCGGACUAACGGGCACCCUUUAGUCCCGAUAGUUAAAAUCAACUGGGACUAAAGGAGCCUAUCCUGCGUUGGCGUGGCAGCUCCUUUAGUCCCGGUUGAGCGACCUGGGGCUAAAGGACCCCUUUUUACCUCGAAAAAUUUAUCCCGGAUGGUUUUUAGAGAUAUUUGACACCUACCAACCGAGAUAAAAAGUGAGUUUUCUACCAGUGUUGGGACAUGUUGCUGCGGUCGGGACGUCAAAGGAUUCUACGUAUUUUCCACAAGCCUGAUCACUACCGUUUCUUUAAAAAGAACUGACAUUGAUACUUGAGUAUGACUUCAGUUCUUUCUAAAAAACGCACAACGAUGCAUUAUUUCCUAUGAAUCGACAACGAUACCUCUAUAUAACUCAAAGAUCCAAAGCAACUUGUAGUGAUGAGUUUUCUGUAUCAAUGGGACAAUAAUCUGCUGUUGAAAAAAUAAAUUGAGCAAAAGUAUGUUGCAAUAAGAUGUACUUUAAACACACACGUUUCUAUGUGGAGAUGCUCUGCAUACGUACAUCUUAGAUCAAAUACGCUCAUGCUAUUUCAACUUACACGCUUAUGCAUGCAUUAUUGUUAUCAUCGGCAUCAACAGGGGGGAUAUGCUGAUGUUUCUUAAUCAAUCAAGAAAAAUGCAUGGAUUCUUGUCAUCGACAUCGUUAAUCUCGACAAGCAGUGGAUAUGCUGAUGUUUCUUAAUUAAUGAAGAAAAAUGCAUGCAUUGUUAUCAUCGACAUCCUUAAUUUCGACAAGGAGUGGAUAUGGAUAUGCUGAUGCUUCUUAUUAAUUAACUGUGAACAAAAUGCAUGCAUUGUUAUAAUCGACAUGGCCCAAGCUACGCAAAUGGGAGUGCACUCAUACAUUUGUAUUUAUACACACACAUACCUUGAACACAAGAUCACCGCCGCGAGAAAAGAUAAGGUUCUGUUAGGUAUAGCAGCCUCUUCUUCCCUAAAGGUUGGCAUGUAUUAUUUUUUAUUAUUGCAUACAUUUUCCAUUAAAUAUUUCAGUAGACUGAUUACUUUUUUGGUUAGCAGAUAAUGCUUUCGAUUAUGACAUCUUCCUAGGCUUAGAGCAUGGUUUCCAUCCCUUUAUCAGUUAAUACCAGAGAUUAUUAUGGCAUAUUAUUAUUAUUAUUAUUAUAAAAACGAAACACCAUGCAUGUUUCUCUUGAUUAUCUAUGUAUUUCUCAAUUAUGGAUGCUUGUUGUUAAUUAACAGUUUCGAAAGGGAGGAAGGGUUAGUGCGUGAUCAAGGUAGACAUGCCUGGUCCGGUACCUCAAUCGUGGCCGGAUCUGAUUGGUACUGAACUGAAUGCAGCAGUUCAGAUCAUCGCUCAGGAGAGGCCUGAUGUCAGAAUUGUCCGAGUACUCCCUCCAGGCGAGGCUCCAUCACCACCGCCAACAGACCAUAUAUGUUGUUGCACCUGCACCAUACAUUGGCUAGCUAGCCUGCCUUAAUUACAUGCAUGGCAGGCUUUAUCUUUUGUGCCUUAUUAUAAAGGCUAGCAUCUCGAUUGAAUAAAGUGAGCGAGUGUGAUAUCGAUCGACAUGCAUUAAUGCUACGUAGUCUAUGGGCAUGCCUGCAUUGUUUACUCAUAUAUGUAUUAGUGUGAUGAAUUUACAAAUAUUUCAAUAAGUAUACUAUUUGAUAAAUGGAAUAAUGAAUUAUGUGUUUUCUUCUUUUUCCAUGAGUGGCUUGCUUUAUUUUGUAUGCCUCAGAAUAUUAAAGGCUAGUGUCAGUUGAAUAAAGCAAGGACUUCGAUAUCGAUUGCCAUGCAUUCAAGCUAUUCAGUGUAUCUAGACUAUAGUUUACUCAAGGCUAGUGUCAGUUGAAUAAAGCAAGGACUUCGAUAUCGAUUGCCAUGCAUUCAAGCUAUUCAGUGUAUCUAGACUAUAGUUUACUCAUACAUGAUUGUGUGUGAUGAAUCUACAUAUGUUUAAAUGAGUGCACUAUGUAAUAUUUCAAUGGGUGUACUCAUAUGAUGAAUAUUUUAUGGUUCUAAGGUCUUUAUGCUAUAAGAAUGCAGAUAAUAUCGGAUACCCAUCCACAUUUAUUUUAAAUACGAAUACGAAUUUGGAUCAUGUAAAACGAAUUCAAAUUUGUCCAAUUAAGGUACCAUAUUAGAAACGAAUGUGGUUACCAAUAUCCAUAUAUCACAUUUUAGUGGAUACGAAUUCAGAUAUCUGCCUACCACUUUCCACUCCUAUCAGUUACCAUUUUAAAUCAGUUUUGUAACAAAACAAAUGCGUGUGCAACACUCAUACGAACUCCACAUCCUUUCUCUAAUAAGCUAGUACGUGCCUGCCAACAAAACCCACUAAUACCAUCGCUCUCAGGUGGAGAGUGGAGACUUUAACGUUAUGAGAAAUGACAUUAUGAGAAAAAGUAAAGAGAAAAAAGAUAAUAAAUUGAGUUUCAAUGACCGAUGGGCUUUCUUGUUCAAUGUGGUGACUAAUAGCUUUGAUCUUAUACGGAAAUAGUCUUGAAUAUUGUCUGUUCACACUAGUAGAAAAAUGACCUUCCAUCCCCAACAAAAAUCUCGGUUAUUUUUGGACUCGGGACUAAAGAGACUCUACUCGCGGUUGGUCACACAAACCGGGAUCAAAUGUGAUCCUCAAUAAAAAGCUCGUCCGUGGAGACACCUUUAGUCCUGGUUGGUAACACCAAUGGGGACUCAAGGUGAUCCUUUAGUCCCGGUUGGUGUUACAAACCUGUACUAAAGCCUUCGAGAGCUUUACUCCCGAUUAGUAAUACCAACCGGGACUAAAGGGUGCAAUUUAAGACUAAAGGGUCCCCCACGAGUUACUACAAAAGGAUUGCAUCCUGUACUCAGUCAGAUGUGUUGUGUAGGUGAGAUGGUAAGGAAGCUACGUGCUAGGCUUGCGGUCCUGGGUUCGAAUCCCACGCACUGCACACACGCAUAUUUCGCGUGAAAAAUCAUGUGACUUGUCACUUGUGACAUGCGUGUGGGGUGGUGCCUCGCGCUCGGGGGCUGGGUACCUAUUUCAACUCGGCUUGCCUCGUGGCUCCACCAGUCCUCGCGCUUGGGGGGCUGGGCGUCUAUUUCAGGUCGACGUGCCUCCUUCGCUCUGCUAGUACUCGCGCUCAGGGGCUGGGCGCCUAUUUUAGCUCGGCUUGCCUCCAUGGCUCCGCCAGUCCUCGCGCUUUGGGGUUGGGCAUCUAUUUCAGGUUGACGUGCCUCCUUGGCUAUGCUAGUUCUUGCACUUGGGGGCUGGAUGCCUACUUCAGGUUGGCGUGCCUCCUCGGCUCUGCAAGUGCUCGCACUCUUGGGCUGGUCACCUAUUUUAGGUCGGCGUGCCUCUACUGCUCCGCCAGUCCUCGCGCUUUGGGGCUGGAUGCCUAUUUCAUGUCGGCAUGCCUCCGCGGCUCCGCCAGUCCUCGCGCUCGUGAGCUGGGUGCCUACUUCAGAUUGGCGUGCCUCCAUGGCUCUGCUAGUCCUCGCGCUCCGGGUUAGAGCACCUAUUUCAGGUCGGCGUGCCUCUGCGGCUCCACAAGUCCUCACGCUUGGGGGCUGGGUGCUAUAUUUGGAUCCUUUUUACGACACAAAUGAUACAUUAGAUUCUUGACCAUUGGUUCAGUUACUUUAAUUGCUUCAAUGCUCAAGGGUGACUCCAUAUGGAGUGCAUCUUGCGAUGCCCUCCAUGUGCUUCCCUUCAAUCUACAGGAUGCCAGACAUCCCGGAGUUCAGCAAUCUCAUAGCCAUGCACAUUUGGUCAUAUGCCUGUGGAAGCUCAAUUUUUCAUUCUUUUUUGAGCAUUGCGUAGCCUCUCCAUCACUAUGACAAGACCGCAACUUCAACCGAGUACAUUACAAGCUUCGUUGCACAUCCGUCAGGCUCCUGUAUGACUCCACAUUGCUAAGGGGCUUGAUGGAUAAGGGUACCCAUGGGUCCCCAUCGACCACGAUACUAGUCGGCCCUGACAGGUGCUCCUGCCCGACCACGCAGUUCGGGCCAAGACAUGAAGAUACGUGGAGCACAGGCUCGGAGGCUUUAACAUUAUGAGAAAUAGUAAAGAGAAAAAAGAUAAUAGAUUUAGAUUGAAUGACCUAUGGGCUUUCUUGUUCAACGUGGUGACUACUAGCUUUGAUCUUAUAGGGAAAUAGUCUUGUUGGUUGUCUGUUCACACUAGUAGAAAAAUGAUGUUCCAUCCUCAACAAAAAUUUCGGUUGUUUAUGGACCCGUGACUAAAGAGGCUUUAGUCCUAGUUGGUAACAACAACUAGGACUAAAGGUGAGGCACCUUUAGUGACCAACUGGGACUAAAGGGUCCCGCACGAGUUACUACAAAAGGAUUGCAUCCCCUACUCAGUUAGAUGUGUUGUCUAGAUGAGAUGGUAAGAAAGCUACGCGCGAGGGUCGAGGUCAUGGGUUCGAAUCCCACGCACCGUGCACAUGCAUAUUUCACGUGAAAAAUCACGUGACUUGUGAUUUGCGAUGUGCGCGUGUGGGGGGGUGCCUCACACUCAGGAGUUGGGUGCCUAUUUCAGCUCGGCUUGCCUCUAUGGCCCUCUGCCAGUUCUUGCGCUUGCGUGGCUCUAUAGCUAUGCCAGGUCUCAUGCUUUGGGGCUGGACGCCUAUUUCAUGUCGGCGUGCCUCCGCGGCUCCGCUAAUGCUCACGCUCGGAGGUUGGGCACCUACUUCAGGUCGGCGUGCCUCCAUAGCUCUACCAGCCAUCGCACUUGGGGGCUCGGCGCCUAUUUUAGGUCGGCAUGCCUCUGCGGCUCCACCAAUCCUCGCGCUUGGGGGCUGGGCGCUAUAUUUGGAUCCCUUUUACGAUGGAACAAAACAUCACAUUCUUGAAUAUUUGACCAGUUACUUUAAUCGCUUCAUUGCUCGGGGGCUACUCCAUAUGGAAUGCAUCUUGCGAUGCCCUCUAUGUGCUUCCCAUCGAUCUACAGGAUGCCAUAAAUCCUGGAGUUUGACAAUCGUAUAGCCAUGCACAUUUGGUCAUACACCUGUGGAAGCUUCAAUUAUUCUUUCUUUUUUGAGCACUGCGCAGCCUCUCCAUCACUAUGACAACACCGCAACUUCAGCCGAGUACAUUACAAGCUUCAUUGUGCAUCCGUUAGGCUCCUUUUUGACUCAACAUUGCUUAGGGGCUUCAUGGAUAAGGGUAGCCAUGUGUCCCCACCAACAAGGAUACUGGUCGGCCUUGAUAGGUGGGCCUACCUGACCACGCUCUGUGGGCCAAGGCAUGAAGAUACAUGGAGCACAGGUUCGGAGGCUUUAACAUUAUGAGAAAUAGUAAGGAGAAAAAAGAUAAUAGAUUUAGAUUCAAUGACCGAUAGGCUUUCUUGUUCAAUGUGGUGAAGAAUAGCUUUGAUCUUAUAUGGAAAUAGUCUCGACGGUUGUCUGUUCACACUAGUAGAAAAAUGACGUUCCAUCCUCAACAAAAAUCUUGAUUAUUUUUUUUACCCGACAUUAAGUGGCUUUAGUCCUAGUUGGUAAUGCCAACUGGGCCUAAUGGUGGUCCUCAAUAAAAACCUCAUCCGUGGGGAGGCAUCGCACUCGAGGGAUAGGCGCCUAUUUUAGCUCGGCUUACCUCCAUGGCUCCACUGGUCCUCGCACUCGGGGGCUAGGCGUCAAUUUCAGGUCAACAUGCCUCCCUCGGCUAGUCCUCGCGCUCUAGGGAUGGACACCUAUUUCUGGUCGGCGUGCGUCUUGCGAUGCCGUCCAUUGCUUCCCUUCGAUCUACAAGAUGCCAGACAUCCCAGAGUUCUGCAGUUCCAUAGCAAUGCACAUUUGAUCAUACGCCUGUGGAAGCUUCAAGUUUUCUUUCUUUUGUGAGCACUGUGCAGCCUCUCCAACACUAUGACAAGACCGCGACAUCGGCCAAGUACAUUACAAGCUUCAUUGCACAUUCGCUAGGCUCCUAGUCGACUCUACAUUGCUCGGGGGCUUGAUAGAUAAGGGUACGCAUGGGUCCCCACCGACCAGGAUACUGGUCGGCCCUAACAGGUGGUCCCACCCGACCACACUGUGUGGGCCAAGGCAUAAAGAUACGUGGAGCACAGGCUCGGAGGCUUUAACAUUAUGAGAAAUAGUAAAGAGAGAAAGAUAAUAGAUAUAGAUUCAAUGACCGAUGGGCUUGCUUCUUCAAUGUGGUGACUAAUAGCUUUGAUCUUAUAUGGCAAUAGUCUUGAUCGUUGUCGGUUCACACUAGUAGAAAAAUGACGUUCCAUCCUCAACAAAAAUCCAGUUGUUUUUGGACCAGGGACUAAAGAGGCUUUAGUCCAGGUUGGUAACACCAACUUGGAAUAAAGGUGAUCCUCAAUAAAACGCUCAUAUGUGGAGACACCUUUAGUCCCAAUUUUAAACACCAACCAGAACUAAAGGUUAUCCUUUAGUCUGGGUUGGUGUUAUCAACCGAGACAAAGGGUCCCCCACGAGUUACUACAAAAGGAUUGCAUCCCCUACUCAGUCAGAUGUGCUGUGUAGGUGAGAUGGUAUGGAAGCUAUGUGUAAGGUUUAGGGUCGUGGGUUUCAAAUCCCACGCACUGCGCAGGCGCAUAUUUUGCAUGAAAAAUUGUGUGCCUUGUGACUUGUGACAUGCGCGCGUGGGGGAGUAUAAGGAAUCAGUGCUCGUAGCCUAAGAGGGGGAGGGGUGAAUUAGGCAACUUAAAACCUUAACCUACUUUACAUCAAAACAUAAUCUAGAUCAUGCUAACCUAUAAUGACUCUCCUAAGCUUGUGCUAAGUCUUUGAUGGACCACUUUUAGCACUUUUGGUGGUUUGGAUGUGUUUUUGCUGAGUCUUGGUCUUUAAUGCAUCCCUUGACACUCCAGCAACUCCAAAUGGGUGAGUGAUGACGGUAGAAAUAGCCCCAAGGGCUCAAAGAGCCAUAGCUCCAAUGGCUAGUAAAAAGGUAUACCAUCGGAUGUUCCAAUGGUCUAAUUUUGGCUUGCAUCAGAACAUCUAGUGCAACAAGCCAUUGGACUCCCUACGCCCAAAUUCCUCAGGAAUUCAUCUGAUGCUUUAUCCGAUACACCUGUCAGACCAUCCAGUGCCACUGUUCACAUCACAUAGCCAUUGGAUUCCCUGACGUUAUUGCUCCGAUGCUUCAUCGAAUGGUUCCAUCGGAUCAUCUGGUGCUAAUAAAGGUUUUUUUACCCAAAACCUUCUGUCAGGAAUCAAAGUAAAUAUGCUUUGUCCGACGCUCCUCUUGGACUACCAUCGGAUCAUCUACUGCUAUUGGACAUCUUCAUCUUUCAUGUCUGCCCCUCAUAAUUCAUCCGAUGCUACUAGAAAUGUGACCAUCGGAACAUCCGAUGGUUGACUUUGCCUGAACUUCUUCGUGGCGUACCAUUUACUCCAAUGCUUGCUCCAACGCCUUCUCUGGGGGCCAUCGAAACAUACGAUGGUGCAUUUUUCCUUCUAGCUCGUCCAAAACAAGCACCAAAGGUACCAUCAUUUGGAUUUUUUCUAUCAUUUGGAUGCUUCAAUACCAUAGAAUAAUCCUGAAUACCAUGGCUUGGUCACUUAAAUACCAUAGCUUGGAUACUCGAAUACCAUGAUUUGGAUACUCAAAUACCAUGAUUUGGAUACUCGAAUACCAUGAUUUGGAUGUCAAGAAUAUUUGGACUUUUCCAUGAUUUGGUUUGCAUUCAUGGGACCUAGAAUACCUACAAGGUACAUGCUAGACAAUGCAUUAGUUCCAAUGACUAUGUUGUCACACAAUCACCAAAAUCACAAACUAUGGCUUAAUGAGGCCAUGUUUGCUACAGGGAGGCCUCGCCCUCAGGAGAUGGGCGCCUAUUUCAACUCAGCUUGCCUCCAUGGCUCUGCUGGUCCUCGCGCCUGGGGGCUGGGUGUCUAUUUUAGGUCGACGUGCCUCCCUUUGCCAGUCCUUGUGCUCUCGGGCUGAAUGCCUAUUUCAGGUCGGCGUGCCUCUACGGCUCCACCAGUCCUCGUGCUUUGGGGUUGGACACCUAUUUUAGGUUAGCGUGCCUCCACGGCUCCGCCAGUCCUUGCGCUCGAGGGCUGGGCACGUACUUCAGAUCGUUGUGCCUCCUUGGCUGCACCACUUCUCAAGCUUGGGGGCAGGGCACCUAUUUCACAUUGCCGUGCCUCUGCAGCUCCGCCAAUCCUCGUGCUUAGGGGCUGGGCGCUAUAUUUGGAUCCCUUUUACAAUGGAAACAAUACAUCAGAUUCUUAACCAUUGGAUCAAUUACUUUAAUCGCUUCAAUGCUCAGGGACUACUCCAUAUGGAGUGCGUCUGGUGAUGCCCUCCAUGUUCUUCCCUUCAAUCUACAGGAUGCCAGAUAGCCCAUAGUUCAGCAGUCGCAAAGCCAUGCACAUUUGGUCAUAUGCCUAUGGAAGCUUCAAUUUUUUUUUUGAGCACGGCGCGGCCUCUCCUUCAAUAUGACGACACCAUAACUUCAGCCGAGUACAUUACAAGCUUCAUUGCGCAUCCGUCAGGCUCUUGUUCGAGUCCAUAUUGCUUGGGGGCUUGAGGGAUAAGGGUAUCCAUGGGUCCCCACUGACCAGGAUAGUGGUCGGCACUGAGAGGUAGGCCCACCUGACCAAGCCAUGCGGGCCAAAGCAUGAAGAUACUUAGAGCAUAGGCUCGGAGGAUAGGCAAACGGAUUCUACUCGGAUAUUGCGGGAUACUUGUUGUAGUCCGAAUCUGAUUGCUUUCCAUGUAACAACUAACUAGGAUUAGAUCCUAUCCGACUUGUUACCCUAGAUCAUCAGCCUAUAUAAGGCGGCUAGGGACACCUCCCGAAGGUAACUCAACCCAAUUCAUCUCGACUCAUCGCAUCCCAUACCAGCAAUACAAUCCACCAGAACAUAGGACAUAGGGUAUUACUCUUUGGAGGCCCAAACCUGUCUAAACCUUAUGUUUCUGUAUUACUAUCUUGCGGUCUCCACCUCCUACAAAUCCAACAUCAACCUGUGCCCUUGUUCAUCCCACACCGCCGAUCAGAUCAGCCGAAUUAGCAUGCUAGGAAAAGACAUGUGUGUCUCAGACUGCAUUUGGCUAUCCCAGUGAAGGAUUUAUUGUUGGUGCUCUUGCACGUGGGCCCUCACCGUCAACGGAGAUGGUCAUCUGUAUCAUAUUCUUUCUAUCAAUGAAGAUGAUCGUGUGUAUCAGAUUCAUGUGUCGUGAGUGGUUUUCUAAUGGGUAUCGGCUGAUUUGCGGUGUCACCACGUAUUGCCUGGUGCUGGAUAUUGGUACGAGGCAUCCGAGAUGAAGCAGGUCAACAACAAAAAGAAAGUACAAUUGGGCAUGAUUGGAUGCUGAAGGACCGAAAAGGCAACCAGAGGGGGGGUGAAUGGGAGCCUCAAAUAUUUCUUUCGAAAUCUUAGGCCUCUGUCUCAAAAUCAAACCCCAAAUCCAAGCAAGUGGAAGAUGAGAGAUCCACGAGCCAACUGCUUGGCUGGGUUUCUAUGAUAAUGACCAAAAGACACAGCAGGACUUUCGAGAAGCAACCUGAAGAAAACUCAAAAGAUUGAGGCAAAACAGAACUCAAAACACCUUCCAGGUGUCUGAACUUCCGACAUCUUAUCGGAACUUCUGAAAGUGGACUGUCGGAACUUUCGACAGAGGUUUUCGGGUUUUCAGCAAUUAACGCAUCGGAACGUCCGAUCCUAUGUUGGUACUUCUAACCCGUUGGAACUUCCUACACAGUGUCGGAACUUCCCACAUCUCAGAAAUCAGCCUUCGUGAGGAGAGAAGAAAAAUCCAAAACCUGACCAAACGAGCUCCAAAAAUCACUAAAUUUGAACCAUAGCAUCACAAGAUAGUAGAGAAGCUAAUCCGAAAUUAUACCUCAAAGAUUUGUAAAACAAUUGGAAUUCCAAGUCUUGUGAAGAAUACAACUUUUCACACUCUGAAAAUUGAAUCAUCCCGAUCUAUGAACUCAUGAGGUUUCAAUCAAAUCCCUUCAGUGGAAAGGUUCAACUCGUGUCCUAGUUCAUAUCCAAACAACCGGUUUGACUCAAAACCCACCACAAAACACGAAUCGAAGAAACAUGUGAAGGAAGGAGGUAGGGAAGAAACAAGAAUGCAAAGAACACAAAUGGGAAUCGCACAAAGUCGUCAUCCCCUUCUACACGGAGGACUCGAAGAUGUUAGGGCCUCCAUUCCUGCAACAAACUUCAGUUCAAUAUAUGGAUUUGAUGCUCAAAACAUCUGAGGACCUCUAGAGAGAUAAACUAGAGAGAGAUAGAAACGACGGUAGUGAACUACUAAAAACCUAGACAGAAGAGAUGGUUAGAGAGGUGCUGAAACAACCAGCCCCCCAUCCCUAUUUAUAGUCUUGGACUAGUUACUAAACUACCCCUACAGCUACUACUAGGAUAACUACCCACGCAGGGGCAUUUUGGUCCAAGUUUCUCUGCGCUCAUCGGACGGACAUACCACCUUCACGACUUUGCUUUUCCUUAAAGCAAGCUUCGCGAUGAUGCCACGCGCCCUACUUGACUCGCCUUCAUCCCACUUGACUCGACCAACGCAGUCUCCAUCCCAUCAUGUUCUCUUGCUCUUCCAUGCACCAUAUGGACUACCCAUGACUCCACCCAGAAUCCUCGGGUCCAUCGGUCUAGGCCUACUCACGUUCAUCCUUCACCGCACAUGGUCCAUCGGCAUGAACCUUUCACUUGACCUUCACCGCAUGCUGUCGGCCGCCACACCGCAUCCAACACCUGCACAUCACAAGCCAAGAGCAACAUCAUUCCAACACAAUAUUGUCAAUCACUGAUCAUCCAAGGGUGACAACCAUUGGUCGUCAGAUGUCUGCAUUUUGGUCAUCCAGGCCCGUAGAAUGCAAGGUGCCCGUGAAUUGUUGUCUAGGCAAGGGUCCUAUUUGUUUGGGAUUUCCAGGAGCUUUCCACCUUAAAAGUAGAAAGCUCAAACAAACAGCCAGCUUCUAGGCUGAGCUUUCCGAAAGCCAAAAGCCCACAAAAGCUACGAUUACAUGCAACUUUCUACGUCAAGGUCGUGAAAAUUACCCAUCUGCCAUCGUUUAUAUUGUGAACUGGUAAUUUUUCUUUCCUUUCCCCCUCCCCCAUGUUAGCUUCCUAACCCCGCCAAUGCUUCUCACCAUAGGCAUCCGCGUCAGGGCUACGGGGCCGUGCUAGCGAGGCAGCAGACGGCGCAGAGGCGCCGCGUGGCAAGGAAUUGGUUGCUGCUAGGGUUCAGAUCCAAUUGCCAUGUGGAGGACGACGAGGACGUGUCCGCGGGGAGCGGCACACGUGGCACCGUGUACAUGGAUGCUAUCGACGGGAGGAGGGAGGUUGGUGAGACAGCCACAACGAUGGUGCGAUGCACAGUAGGUGGCGAAGGGGGAGAACUUGUGGUCAUACUGUUGUUCACACGUGUUACUUCGAUUGCGGUUGGAGGCGUGCUCGGCCUCAUCUCUGCACAUGUGAAUUAGAAUGAGGCCAGGGGUGAUCCGGCCAGCAUCCAAGGUUGAAGAAAAGCCUAGCAUGUGGACCCCAUAGAACAGACACUCCAUCCCACCAUUCCAAAAGCUAGGUUGCCAGACGGUGUUAGCUUUCCAAAAGCCAGCUUUCGGAAAGCCAUCUUCUAGGGAGCAAAAAUCAAAAACCAGCUUUUUGCAAAGCUUGGAAAGAAACAAGGUCUAGGGGCAUGGCCAGGCCCUCGCCAUGCAAAAGCUGUCCUCUGGCCUAGCUUGUGGACUGCUGAACUUUUAUUCGCUUCCGCUCAUCCAGGCUUGCGUGGUGCGCUGGUGUGCACAUGAGCGAUGCAUAGAGGAUUAAAUGCUGCUGGGCAUCCUAAUUUUGCGGGCAACCAAUCAAUGUCUCGUGUUGGUCUGGCUACAUCCACACAGGAACAAAACAAAAGGCUUCUGCAUCUCGAGAGGCUCGCCAACGGGAGCCUACACCGCAAAAGGCUUUUGCAUCCACACGUGAACCAAACAAAAGGCUUCUGCGUCUCGAGAGGAACGACGAUGAUCGCCCUCAUCAUCGCCACUACCUCCAGUAGCAGCAGUAGCCAUCUCUACGUACCACAAUUUAUUUAGCUCAUAUUUGCAAAUGACUAAAAUAUCAAUAAAUUAUCUUUUUUGCGACAAUUUAUUUAGCUCAAACAUAACAUAUAAAUGAAAAGUUUCACCAUUGUAGCUUAUUUUAAAAAUGAUUAAUUAUGUACCUCUAUUUAAACUUAUUAUGUACCACAAUUUAUCUCACUCAUAUUUGCAAAUUAUUCCUUUUUUGCCAUAAUUUGUUUAGCUUAUAUUUGUAGAGGAUUAAACUAUGAAAUUAUUCCUCUAACCUCGUAUCAAUUUCUUUGACUAAUAGGAAACAUAGCAUCCAUAAAAUUGUAGCUUAUUCUAAAAAUCACAAAUAUGAGUUCUAAAUAACACAUGUAUAUAAAUGAAAAAUUUCUCCAUUGUGCCUUUUUCUAAAAUUCACAAAUUACUCUAGCUCUAAAGCAUAAAACUUACUCUAGGACCUCCCCUAUUUUGCUAUGAAUGGAUGAAGCCCGAGCUGGAGGAAAUAGUUCGGGCAGGAGGAAGAAGACACCUGAUUUAUAGGAAGGAAGUUAGUGCUUGUUGGAGGCUACGACCGGUACUAAUGGUCACCUAUUAGUACCGGGUGGAGGCUCCACCCAGUACUAAUAGGUGACCUUUAGUAGUGGUGGGAGCUCUCAACCGGUACUAAAGGGGGUCAUGGGGGGCUCCUGGGGAACUAGCCGUUAGACCUAAUACCAAUGCUCACAUUAGUACCAGGUCAAAAACCAACCACUACUAAGGGCUAGGACCAAUGCUCAGUUUUCCAGUAGUGAUCAUGAUAAGCAUGGUUGUGUGGUUCGUGCGGGGAGAGCUUGGCGAAAGCCAUGACCAACUUGGUGUUGGUAGUGAUGACAGCAUCAUUGUGGGACUCUCCUUCCUCGCAACCAUUGAUUCCUUCGAGUGAAAACUCGAUCUUGGUUCUACCAGACGGCGGCGGAAUCAGGGGCGGAGAGCCAAGGGGGGGGGUUGUAGGGCCAGCCUUGCCCCCCCUAAGGAGCCUAUUUUUUCUAAAGUAUCUCUUGUAAACAUCAGUAAUGACCGGAGCUUAAGGUGGUGUACCAGCAGAACAAGACUUUUGAGCCCAAUAAACACACACUAGUAGACAACUGCCCUUUAGCCCCGGUUGGUAGGAUGCAUAUCUCCCGAAAAUCCAUCCGGGAUAAACCAACCAGAACAAAAGGGGGGGGGGGUCUUUAGUCCCGGGUCCUUCAACUAAAGAUGACUUUCCUUUCCUUUUGUCCCUCUCAUCAGCCUUUACUAAAGCCCGUUCGUAGUUUGAUAGCAGUGGUAUCCUUUUCUUGGCUCCUUCUUCCAUCCUGAUAAAAAAGUUUAAAUCUCUUCGAUUUACUGGCGGUGGAUCUAUCUCCCUUGCUUUUUUUUCUUCGGCUUGUUUCUUGAACCACGCACUGGCCUCUACUUGGAUUUCUGCCCAGUGUUCUGCAAGACUCAUUGCCUCCCAGCGUUCCUUACGAGUCACUUCAGGCUCCUUUGUUUUCUUCUUUCUCUAUCUUUGCUUGGGAGGCGGUGCUCGUGACUUCUUUAGUGGUGCUGCAGGUUCCUUCAUCGGGGCUGCUCUUAGUCCCGGCGACGGUGAUUGGGGAGGGGUGUUGUUAUUGUCAUCGCCGCUCCCACCACCGGGAUGUGAUGGAGAUGGAGACCUUGAUAGAGCAGGAAGCGACGGUCCUGAAGCAGGUUGUGCAGGAGAUGAUGGUCUCGAGCUAUGAGGAGAAGGUCGCUUCUGGGGAUCUAUGGGGAGUGGUCUUGAGCUCUGAGGAGAUGGCUCCGUGCUAGGAAUGAUGAUGUAGCGUUUGCGCCAUAGAAUGAUCCCAUGAAGCGCAUCUGCCAGUGUCCUUUCCCUGUCGCCUCUCGGGAGGUCGAGCUCUAGGCCUUCAUAUUGGCUAUCAACAAGCUGCUCUACGCGGACGCUAGCGUAGCCAAGUGGAAUCUCUAUGCCAUGGCUGCUCUGCCCUGCCAGGGUUGGUAACGCACUCCCGUAUGCCACCUGUACAUAUAGCAGAAGUAAACAAGUUAUUAAACUCCGAUCCUGAGGUGUGGAUCAAUUGACAAGAUUGCAUAAAUAUUAUGUAUAAGUAUACCUUAAUAGUAAGGUUGCCGACCGGUGCAUGCAACUCACAUGUGGUGCGUUGCAUGAUGGCAUCCACAGCGAACCGUUGCUCCUCUACGGGUAACCUGGGCAUCUGCCUAUCGGGGAGCCCUGUAGAAGUACAACUGCUCAAGAGGCGUAAAGAAGGGUUGGCGUAGUUUGGAUUCGGCAAUGCUCCAGAUUGGGCCAACUCCGCAACUGCGUGGGCCACUUGACGAUUGAUUUCCUCCAACAUUAUUUCUUCUUGUGCCUGCACUUUUGAUUCUGGCAUCUGCUGCCAGCUCUCCUCGAUCUGUUCCUUUCUUCGCUUGCGGCUUCCGUACGAUGCACUGUCGCCUCAGAAAGCAAACUUCCACGGGAUGACCCCGAACCCUCGGCAACGUCUUGGGUGCUCGGGAUUAUCGAGGGCCAAUGUGACCUCAUCAUUCUCUCAGUCCACCUGCAACUUCCCAGCCUUAGAAUCUUUCAAUGUUCUUCAUAAGACGUUCGGCCUUCUCACGUAUUAUCUCAUUGAAUAUCAACGUCCCAUCCUCUUGGCUCAGGGAGCCUCCAUGAGCGUAAUACCAAUUUUUCGAUCGUUUGGGCUAUUCAAUAGUUGCAGGUACGAUUCCCCGUUCGAUCAGAGUUUGUUCCAUCUUCUUCCAUUUGGGAAUUGCUGUGCCAUAACCACCUCGCCCUAGAUGAUGAUGGUACCCCUUCUGACCAGAAUUUAUAGUGUUGGUUAGGAUCUUUUUCACACCGUCUUCACUCCUCUUAUAUUCAACAAAUGCCUCUCAGUGGUCCCUCAACUUUGGCCACACAUUGAAAUUUGGAGUUUGGCCCUUUUUAAUGUAGUUGGCAUCCAGCAUCUUCUUGAAUGUCUGGAAUUGUGUAGCCAUCUUCUUCAACGUCCACGCUUUCACAUCCUUUUCAAUAUAUCCUUCAGGAAAUGUGAAAUGUCUCUUGACAUCUUCCCACAGCAUAUUCUUUUGUGUCUACGGGAGCACGUACGGAUUAGUGCUUUUGCCCUUCCAUUCUCUAAUGCUGAUAGGCACGUUGUCCCUUAUGAUUGCCCCGAUCUGACUCACGUACUUCUUUGCUACUUUUUUGGGAGCAACCGGCCUGCCCUCUUGUGUCACUUCCAUGAUGACAAGCCUCCCUUCCAUCACCUUUGUACGACCUCAGGUCUUCUGCCCUUUCGUCGAUCCAGAGCGCUAAUAGUUCAAGAUUCGUUAAUUAGUACGUAGUAUUAAUGGUGGCGUCAAACAAUACAAAUUAUAUAUACCUCGCCAGAACCUUCCGCCACGGCAAGGUGUUGUUGGGGCUCAUGCUCUUCAUUCCCAUCGCCAGACAUGUUGAGGAACAUGUCUGCCUUGGUGCCGUCUUCAUCGGUGUACGAUAUUGGAAGGUUGUCGCCACUACCAUCACCAGCAAUCAUCUGCUCCAUGAGAUACCUUGCGGUCUCGUCGUCUGCCAUUUCCACUACUGAUUGAAACAUACAUGGAAUCAUACAUGACAGUCAUGAAUCAUAGAAAUCGCCUUAGUUACAUGUACAUAAGGGUAUAUACAUCAAAUCAUAAAAUAACAUGAAUCCCACAAAGUCCGGAAUGUUUAUACAAAUUUCAACAAAUUAGUAGUACUUUGUAAGAAUUUCUACCAAAUUUCUACUAAUUUCUACAUAUUUAUUGGAAUUUCUAGCAAAUUACUACUAAUUCCUACUGAUUUGAAUGAAUUUCUACAAAAAUUAUCAACUGAUUUUCUAACUAAUCUACAAAUAUCUAAUGAUUUUCUAACUAAUCUACUAAUUUCUAUAUAUUUUCUAACUAACAAAUAAAAAAGGCCCUUGCUGAUGCAAGCCAGUGGGCUUGCAUCAGCAAGAGCCCUUCGUUCCCGGCGCCAGUGCCGGCGGACCUCACGCGGUGCCUAGCUUGGGCGACGAGGUGGCCGGAGCGGCGGGAUAGCGGAGGCAGGGACGGAGCGAGGUGGCCGCAGCAACGAUGGGCGGAGGCGGCCGACGACGAAGGACGGAGGCGGCCGACGACGAAGGACGGAAGCGGCAUGCGCGAUAGAGGCGGCGACGAGGCGCUGCGGUGGACGAGGAUGCGGCGGCGACAGAGGAGGUGGUGUUGAUGGAGGCGGUGACUCGGACGGAGGUAGCGACGAGGCCCCGCGAUGGAGGCGGCCGGCAGCGAUGAGGUCGAGGGGGCACGACGGAGGAGGAUUGAAGGCGGGCCGGGGCGAUGGAGGAGGAGGCAGUCCAGGCGCGGGCGAGGUGGUCGGGCAACGGGACAAUGAUGGCCGAGGCAAUGGGGGACGAGGACGACGGCGGCAGCCAGCGAGGGAGGUGGACGGGUGGCGACAAAGCAAGCGGGAGGACGCGUGAUCUUGGCGGUGGGGUGAAAAUUUGGCUAAGUGUAACUGGCGUGGGGGGGUAGAAGAGGCUACAGUGGCUUUUAUCCCCCUCCCCUUUUAUCCUGGUUUGUAAUUGAACCCGGGACUAAAGGACCUUUUGUCCCAGGUGCCAACACCAACCGGGAUAAAAGGGCCCCCCCUUUUAUUCCGGUUGCUAACUGUAACCGGGAUAAAAGGGUACGUCCCCCGGCGGGAAUCGAAAACUACCGUUUUGUCCCGGCUGCCAACACCAACUGGGAUAAAAAGGGCCCCCCCUUUUAUUCCGGUUGCUAACUGUAACCAGAAUAAAAGGGUACGGCCCCCGGCGGGAAUCGAAAACUACCCUUUUAUACCGGUUGCAGUUGUCCACCGGAAUAAAAGGGGGGCCUUUUGUCCCCGUUUCUAUUGGCACCCAGGAUAAAAGGGCCUUUUCCCACACUUUCAUCUCCCGCCUGUUUUUUGGAAAAGGAUUUUAUUUUAUAUUUUCACUGCAUUUCAGGAUGCAAAAACAAAAAACUUCACAUAUUUUGAACAUACAAAAAUAUAUUUAAUUAGCGAGUAUAUUGACAAUAAGUGUGAAUUAGUCAUUAAUUCUAUACCAGUUCGUUUAGCCUCUAAAAUAAUUAUUUUACUGCAUCGCUAUGAUCAAGAAAUUAUUCAAUUAAAUAAUUUCAACGCCCAAAAAAAUCCAUGUAUGUAUGUGGUUAACAUUGUUCAUGUUUAUUUAAUAAAUCUUCACCUCAAUAAAUUUAAGGACACAUGAAAUCAUACAUAGGUUAAAUUAAAAAUUGUAUCAAGUACUACACAAAGGUCAUGUAAAUUUAGCGCAUUACAUGACAACGUUGUAAAAUUUCUUGAGUUCCUUGAUCACGAUCAUGGUGUAAGUACGGAGCCUCUUCUUUGGAUAGCAGGAUGCUUGGGUCAUCUUCAACUGUGAAUGGAGGCAUGCCAUCAAACUGAUCAUAAUUAUUUGAUUGGUCUGUUUCAUCCUCGACUCCCACAAUUUUUCUUUUACCUGGAAAAACUAUGUGGCACUUUGGCUCCCAUGUCUCUUCUGGAUUACUCUUGGGUUUUGCUAGACAUGUCUUUCACAUAGAAAACCUGAUGCACAUCAUUGGCAAAUAUGAAUGGGUCAUCACUGUAUCUAGUCUUGCUCAGAUCUACUAUUGUCAUUCCGUACUGAUCUUUGGUUAUGGCAGUUAGCUUCACCCAAUUGCAAAGAAAUAGAGGGAUGUAGAGCGGUCCGUAUUCAAGUUCCCAUAUCUCUUGUAUGAAACUAUAAUAUGACUCCUUGCUAUUAUUUCUAUCUAUGGCAUCUUUGCGGACACCACUAUUCUGAUUCGUGCUUUUCUGGUCCUGGGCUCUGUUGUAAAAUGUAUAACCAUUUAUCUCAUAGGCUUGGAAUUUCAUGAUUGUGCUAGCAGGUCCCCUGGCUAACCAAGCGAGCUGUGGGUGAAUCUCAGAGUUACCCAUAAGUUAUUGGUGCAACUAGGAGGGAAAAGUUUCUAUGUGAUGAUGUGUAAGCCAAGCAUCAAAUUUUGUCGGGUUUUUGGAAAUUACCAUCUGCCUGUGCUGCUCUAUAUACGGAGACACAAAGAAUGACUUUUGUAGAACAGUGUAGUGUGCCUUGUCGAACAAAUCAGUAUCAUUGCUCAAACUUGAUUUCCUUCCAAGGGUGCCCAUUCCUCAGAGCCUCCCCUCGUGGCAUGAAGUUGGAACCCCAAUCGAGUCAAUUGAGUCAAUAAAAUCAACAUAAAAUUCAAUCACCUCCUCUGUUCCAUAUCCCUUAGCGAUGCUUCCUUCUGAACGGGCAUGAUUAAGAACAUAGUUUUUUAGGACUUCCAUGAACCUCUCGAAAGGCCACAUAUUGUGCAGGUAUACAGGUUCGAGAAUACCAAUCUCUUUUACUAGGUGAACCAGUAAGUGCGUCAUAAUAUUGAAGAAGGAUGGUGGAAAUACCAACUCAAAACUGACAAGACAUUGCACCAUAUCAUUUUGUAGCUUUGAUAGCUUGGAUGGAUCGAUUGUCUUCUGCGAAAUCGCAUUGAGAAACGCGCAUAGCUUUACGAGUGGCAACCGGACAUUUUUUGAUAGAACACCCCUCAGUGCAACCAGAAGCAACUGGGUCAUCAACAUGUGGCAGUCAUAGGCCUUGAGAUUUGUAAACUUCUUUUGUUUCAUAUUUAUUAUUCCCUUUAUAUUCAAGGAGUACCCAGACGGGACCUUCAUACGCAUUCAAACAUGGUAUCCUUCUCUUCCUUGCUGAGAGUGUAACUGGUAGGAUGUAAGUAGUGUUAUCCAUUAUCUCUCUUUUCUGGAUGUAGGUCAUCUCGUUGCCCCAUGGCUUUCAGGUCCUGUCGUGCUUCCAUUGUAUCUUUUGAGGUCCCAUAAACACCCAUGAAGCCUAGCACGUUUACGCAAAGAUUCUUCAUCAGGUGCAUCAUGUCUAUUGCGUUGCGAACCUCUAGGAUUUUCCAAUAAGGUAGCUCCCAAAAUAUUGACUUUUUCUUCCACAUGGGUGCACCUCCGUUAUUGUUGUUCAGAACAGGUUAGCUAUCAUGACCCUUUCCAAAGACUACAUUUACAUCCUUUAUCAUCUCAAAGACACGCUUUCCAUUACGGUGUGCAGGUUUUUUACGAUGGUCUGGCGUCCCUUUGAAAUGCAUCCCACUCUUUCUCAGCUGGUGGUGAGCAGGGAGAAAUCAACGAUGACCCAUAUAGAUGACCUUCUUAUAGUGCUUCAAAUACAUGUUGUCUGUGUUGUCUAAACAGUGGGUGCAGGCCCGAUAUCCCUUAUUUGUCUGUCUCGAAAGGUUACUCAGUGCAGACCAAUCAUUGAUGGUUACAAACAACAAUGCUUGUAGAUUAAUGAUCUCUUAUCUAUCCUCAUCCCACACAUGUACACCUUCUUCCUUUCAGAGCUGUAAAAGGUCAUCAACCAAUGGUCUUAGGUACAUGUCAAUGUCGUUGCCGGGUUGUUUUGGGCUUUGGAUAAGUGCCGGCAUCAUAAUGAACUUCCGCUACAUCCACAGCCGAGGAGGAAGGUUGAACAUACAUAGGGUCAUAGGCCAAGUACUAUGGUCACUACUCAACUCACCGAAUGGAUUGAAUCCAUCAGUACUUAAACCAAACGUUAUAUUCCUUGCUUCACUUUCAAAGUCCGGGAAUGCUCUAUCAAUUGAUCUCCACUAGGCCCUAUCUACGGGCUGUCUCAGCAUCUCAUCUUCCAUACGUUCUUCUUUGUGCCAUCACAUCAACUUAGCAUUCACCUUGUUCCUGAACAAGCGCUUCAAGCGUGGUAUUAUAGAGAAAUACCACAUCACCUUCGCGGGAACUCUCUUCUUGGGAGACUGCCCCUCGACAUCACCAGGAUCAUCUCGCCUGAUCUUAUACCCUAGCACUUCGCAGACGAGACAAGCAUCCAUUUUCUCUUAUUCAUCACCAUGAUAGAGGAUACAGUCAUUAGGGCAUGCGUGUAUCUUCUGAACAUCCAAUCCGAGACGGCAAAUAAUCUGUUUAGCUUCAUAUGUUGUGGAUGGUAAUUCAUUAUUCUCGGGAAGAAUCUUCUUGACAAUGUUCAACAUCCCCUGAAAUGCCUUAUCGGACACACCAUUUUUUGCAAUCCAUUGCACAAAUUCUAUCAUGUGCUGCAACUUUGCUGCUUCCUUCUCAGUUUCGCAAUCUCUGUGUGCAUCUCGUAGCACCUGACCAAGGUCAUCAAUAGGGCCAUUUUCUGCAAACUCAUCUUCAUCAGCCUCGCCCAUUGUAGUAUCUGCAAAAGCUUGGCCUGCAACCCAGUCCGGAAUGUUGUCAUCCUCCUCCUCCUCCUCGCCAUCUUCCAUUACAACCCCUCUUUCACCGUGCUUGGUCCAAACCAAAUAGUUAGGCAUAAAACCAUAUCUAAACAAGUGGUUAUGAAUAGUCCCUAGGAAUCCUUUGAAUAGUCCUUGUUAUUACAUUGGAAGCAUGGACAACAUACGAACCCAUUCUCUGGCUUGUUCGCUUUGGCCACUUCAAGAAAAUAAUGCAAGCCAUCAAUAAAUACCUUGCUCCGUCUGUCUGCAUUAUACAUCCAUUGCCGGUCCAUCUGCAUCGUAUUACGCAUGAAAAUAGAUUACGCAUGAAAAUUGAUUACACUUGAAAAUGGAUUACGCAUGAAAAUUGAUUAAACUUGAAAAUGGAUUCAUGAUUGAAAGCAUGUCAAACGUUGUAGUGCAAAUAAUACUGAAAGUUUAGAUGUAGAUACAAAUACACAUAUUUAAAUUAAAGAUCCAAACAACAUGAUACAAUACAACAAGCCAUCCACUGGUAUUAUCUAAAAGGACUUUAAGCAUCCUUGGGAGGUGAAGACGAAGGUUCCACUGACCCAGCCUCAUCCUGUGGUUUAUUUGUGUCGCCCGAAACGGUAGUACUAAGUGGACGUGAAACACCUGGGACUGAGGGUGGAGCAUAACGACCACCAAAAGGAGGUUCCUGACCCGCAGCAACACCUUCUUCAUGACGUUUCUGCAAAUAACGAAGCAUUGCUUUCUCCAAUAACACGCUCAUUUUCUUCGGCUUAUCCUGAGGGCCAACUAUGAUUUUCCCCUUGCCGAAAGAGGAACGACGAUCGCCCCCACCAUCGUCACUUCCUCCCGUAGCAGAAUCCAUCUAUGUACAAAAAUUCUUACCUUAGCACUGCAAAACUUGUUGAACUUGAAGACCGUGAUCAUCUGGCGAGCAUGUUCUCAAAUGGGCGGCACUGCACUUCGUCAUGAAAGUGGUUCGAUUCUAUGAAAAAGGGGACAUGGUCACAAUGUCCGUAUCCACUCUUUCUCGUAGAGUUGAACCUCCUUCUUGACAUACGUUGCUGCUCUGCGGAGAACAUUCUCGUCAAGAUGAGCACGGUAUGCAAGUUCAACAAGUAUGGAUUUGAAAAACCAUAUUGAAUUUGAUAAGAUAAACCGUCUAGAUAAGGUAGCAUCAUUCUUAAACCACUGCAAGAAUACAUACUAUAUAUGACACAUUAUAGCUCAAAAUACCUAUCCAUUUUCUACUUCAUCACAUUCUAGAAAAUAAACUUUCCAUCUCCAAAGCAUAAAUCAAAGCGUAACACGAGAUUGAAGUAGCAAACAUUCACAACACUUGCGUUGGCUGAGUGAAAUUCCCACAAAAAUGAGGGAAAAAAAUUCGGGCAGCACCUCCCUUGCUUCGGCACCACCAGAGAGUAGGUGAAGCUCAGCUCUCUGUCAUUGUGGUGGACUGGCUCGGGCUGGAGGAGGAAGAAAGGCCUCUGUCUUGAUAUGUAAUGGGGAUGAGUUUUUAUCCUGGUUAAAAACUCCAACCGAGAUAAAAAGGAACACCUUUUGUCCCGGUUGAAAGUUUACUCCCAGUUGGAACCUCCAACCGGGAGUAAACUUUUUGUCCCGGUUGGAGCCUCCAACCGGGACAAAAGGGUAAACCCACCGACACCCCGGAACUAGCCGUUACAACCGGGACUAAAGGGGGGCCUUUAGUCCCGGUUGCAAAUACCAACCGGGAGUAAAUCUUCCCUCUAUUCUUGCCUACCGUGGCGCACCCCCUUUUCUCCCGGGUCUACUUUAAACCGGGACAAAAGGGGGCGCAUCGAAAGUCAAUUCUCUACUAGUGACAUUGAACCAAACCAAGCGCCUUAAUCCUUUUUGAUUUAUGUCUACAACACCUAAAUAACAUGCCAUAUUUUUGUAACCAAAAAAAUUAUCUAUGAGUAUUUUUUUCUACAACAAAGGGCAUUACAUGUAUUGUCUUCGAUUGUGCAAAUAUUCCUUUCAUAUGUUAUGUCUUUUUUUAUAACCAUCGCCUAUAGGUCUUGGAGUAGUCUCAGUUCUGAAAUUUAGCUCAGGAGAUGAUUUACUGCUGGACGAUCGACCUUUAGUACCGAGCGUCUGACUGGUACCGCUUGUUCGGUACUAAAUGGCAUUUAGUACCGGCCAAAAUGCCCGGUAUUAAAUGGGCCAUUUAGUACUGGUCGGUAGUACCAACCAGUAGUAAACUGCGAGCCACAUCGCGCUAUUGCGGAUGACAGUUUAGUACCAGUUGGUUUUACUAACCGGUACUAAAUGGUUUUGUUUUCCUUUCACUUUAAUUCAUAUUUUUAUUCUUAUUGGUAUUCAUAUGCGCGUACAGUAUCUGUUUGAAUAUGUAGUAAUAUUAGGCUAAUAUAUAUUGAUCUAACAUAUAGUAAAGGUUACAUAUAUUAUAUUUAUACAAUUUAUAUACACUUCAAAUACUACAAGUAAUCCAAUACGAUUUUCUCAAUAUCGAAUAGACUUUCACGGGUAAAAAAUCUACAUUCUCCAUGCAUGUAUAAAUGAAAAAAAUCUCCAGUCAUCCUCAGUCUAAAAAAGGACAAAUUUCUCUAACUACAAAUCAUAAAACAUAAAAUACUAAUCAUGAGAGGAGGGAGGAUGAAGUUGGUAACCUUUAGAACAGUUGGAAGAGUGAAAUCCCCACAAAUCGUGGAUAUAAUGGGAAGCACCUCCCCUAGGUCGCUUAUGGAGUGAAGAAGCCUGAGCUCUUGGUCAAAUGGUUGAGCUCGGGCUCGGGGAGGAUGAAGGAGCUUAUUUUAUGGGGUGUACCUGGUGGCUCUAGCCAGUACUAAGUUCUGACAUUUAGUAUUGGUUGAUGGUACCAACUGGUACACUCAUGCGUGAACACCAUUUAGUUCCGGUUGAAGCUACC